rnacentral:hammerhead_ribozyme from 1 species
AUCUGGCUGACGAGUCCCAAAUAGGACGAAACGUGCGUCCUGGAU